UUGUUGCAAAGCCUAACUAGGUUACCCUA
rnacentral:sRNA from 1 species